ACAGGCCAGAGGAAGAAGACACAGUGAGCAGCAGAGUCCAGAAAAGCUAUAGCCAGUCAUAGCAGGAAACCUGCUGUUCUUAGAGAACAUGCAGGGAAAGCUAUUGAAAGACGCAGCAGGGACACUGAGGCAGCUGGAGUUUUGUUUUGCGACCUCGACAGCGG